GUGGGGAAUUUUGGACAAUGGGCGCAAGCCUGAUCCAGCAAUGCCGCGUGCAGGAAGAAGGCCUUCGGGUUGUAAACUGCUUUUGUACGGAACGAAACGGUCCGGGUUAAUACCCUGGGCUAAUGACGGUACCGUAAGAAUAAGCACCGGCUAACUACGUGCCAGCAGCCGCGGUUAUACGUAGGGUGCAAGCGUUAAUCGGAAUUACUGGGCGUAAAGCGUGCGCAGGCGGGUUUGUAAGACGGGCGUGAAAUCCCCGGGCUCAACCUGGGAAUUGCGCUUGUGACUGCAAGGCUGGAGUGCGGCAGAGGGGGAUGGAAUUCCGCGUGUAGCAGUGAAAUGCGUAGAUAUGCGGAGGAACACCGAUGGCGAAGGCAAUCCCCUGGGCCUGCACUGACGCUCAUGCACGAAAGCGUGGGGAGCAAACAGGAUUAGAAACCCGGGUAGUCC
rnacentral:rRNA from 1 species